GAGAGAGAGAGAGAGGAGAGACAAGAGAGAGAGAGAGAGAUUAUUAUCUACUGUGUGUUAGUUCCCCUCCAUUCAAUCCGCUCUGUCUAGCAAAACACAAUAGUCCUGAAGCAAUAAGCCACAAUAUAAACUCUGUGUGUGUGUGUGUGGUGUGUGUGCAGUGUUGACUCUGCAUACGUAGGCGCGAGAAUGCCGCUGUGCUUUCAAACACUACAAGUAAAUAGGGACAGGUUUAGCAUGUAA